UUAUAGAAUCAAAUUUCAGUUUCACUGAUUUUCUGGUUUUUUUGGUUUUCUGUCUAGUUCACUGAUUUCUACUCUGACUUAUAUUUCUUUGCUUACUUUGGGUCAGACUGCCUGUUGUUUGUUUCCAGUUCCUUAGAAGAAGUUCGUUCUCUGGCUUCAGCGGCUGCUCGAGGCCACAGGACGUCGGACCAUAGAGUGACCCAUGCUGCCCUGAGGUCGUCCCGGGCUCCAGCCACGUCUCCCGUCAAGACAGACAGGAGAACAAGUGUGUGUGCACAUGCGUAGUCGGAAGACGCCUCUGUCUGGCGGGAUGAACCACCUGAGGGCCGGUUUAGGAGGCUGCUAUACCCCCCUCCCUGAGCAGGUUUUCCGUCUACCCAGCAGGGGCGUCUGGCAGCACCCGCGUUACCGCGUCUGCGUUCGGUGGGUUUCCCGAGGGCUCUGUGGACUGUGCCAACAACCCCGACUUCCCUCAUUAAUAAAGGAACUAAAUGACA